CAGAUAUAGAGGAAACAGGAAAACGUUUAUUCAGAAGCAUUAAGAUGACUAGGGAGGCUUGCAAUAUUUUCAGGGCCUCACAUCCACAAUGGCAGGUGGUAUGAAUCCAAAUGCUGCACAAUCACCAAGAGGAGGUGAUGGAGAUGCUCCGCCUCCUGGCCUGGAUACUGGAAAUAUGAAUGUAUUGUAUGAAGCUGGGCAGUACUUAGCUGCUCAGUUGCAAGCUGCAAAUCCAGACCUUGUAGAGUCAAAAUACUUCUAGGAAUAAUCCCG